rnacentral:rRNA from 1 species
GAUGAACGCUGGCGGCGUGCUUAACACAUGCAAGUCGAACGAUGAAGCCCAGCUUGCUGGGUGGAUUAGUGGCGAACGGGUGAGUAACACGUGAGUAACCUGCCCUUAACUCUGGGAUAAGCCUGGGAAACUGGGUCUAAUACCGGAUAGGAGCGUCCACCGCAUGGUGGGUGUUGGAAAGAUUUAUCGGUUUUGGAUGGACUCGCGGCCUAUCAGCUUGUUGGUGAGGUAAUGGCUCACCAAGGCGACGACGGGUAGCCGGCCUGAGAGGGUGACCGGCCAGACUGCGGAGGAGACACGGCGCAGAGACACAGGGGGGGCGGCGGUGGGGAAUAGAGCAGGAGGGGAGAGAGGCGGAGGAGGCGGGGCCGCGGGCGGGGUGACGGCAUUGGGGUUGGAAACCUCUUUAAGGAGGGAAGAAGCGAAGGUGACGGAGACGGAAGAAGAAGCACCUGCAAACUACGUGGCAGGGGCCGCAGUAAUAAGCGGAAGACCACACGGCUCAAC